UGCGUAGGUGGGUAUGUAAGUCAGUGGUGAAAUCCCCGAGCUUAACUUGGGAACUGCCGUUGAUACUAUAUAUCUUGAAUGUCGUAGAGGUAAGCGGAAUAUGUCAUGUAGCGGUGAAAUGCUUAGAGAUGACAUAGAACACCAAUUGCGAAGGCAGCUUACUAUGCGAAUAUUGACACUGAGGCACGAAAGCGUGGGUAGCAAACA
rnacentral:rRNA from 1 species